GAUGAACGCUGGCGGCGUGCCUAAUACAUGCAAGUCGAGCGGACGGACGCGAAGCUUGCUUCUCUGAUGUUAGCGGCGGACGGGUGAGUAACGCGUGGAUAACCUACCUAUAAGACUGGGAUAACUUCGGGAAACCGGAGCUAAUACCGGAUAAUAUUUUGAACCGCAUGGUUCAAAAGUGAAAGACGGUCUUGCUGUCACUUAUAGAUGGAUCCGCGCUGCAUUAGCUAGUUGGUAAGGUAACGGCUUACCAAGGCAACGAUGCAUAGCCGACCUGAGAGGGUGAUCGGCGACACUGGAACGUAGACACGGUCCAGACUCCUACGGGAGGCAGCAGUAGGGAAUCGUCCGCAAUGGGCGAAAGCCUGACGGAGCAACGCGGCGUGAGUGAUGAAGAUCUUCGGAGCGUAAAAAUCUGUUAUUAGGGAAGAACAUAUGUGUAAGUAACUGUGCACAUCUUGACGGUACCUAAUCAGAAAGCCACGGCUAACUACGUG
rnacentral:rRNA from 1 species